rnacentral:rRNA from 1 species
AACGAACGCUGGCGGCAUGCCUAACACAUGCAAGUCGAACGAGACCUUCGGGUCUAGUGGCGCACGGGUGCGUAACGCGUGGGAACCUGCCCUUAGGUUCGGAAUAACUCCCCGAAAGGGGUGCUAAUACCGGAUAAUUUCUUCGGACCAAAGAUUUAUCGCCUUUGGAUGGGCCCGCGUUGGAUUAGCUAGUUGGUAGGGUAAAAGCCUACCAAGGCGACGAUCCAUAGCUGGUCUGAGAGGAUGAUCAGCCACACUGGGACUGAGACACGGCCCAGACUCCUACGGGAGGCAGCAGUGGGGAAUAUUGGCAAAUGGGCGAAAGCCUGAUCCAGCAAUGCCGCGUGAGUGAUGAAGGCCUUAGGGUUGUAAAGCUCUUUUACACGGGAUGAUAAUGACAGUACCGGGAGAAUAAGCUCCGGCUAACUCCGUG